GAUGAACGCUAGCGGCAGGCUUAAUACAUGCAAGUCGAGGGGCAGCAUGAUUGUAGCAAUACAAUUGAUGGCGACUGGCAAACGGGUGCGGAACACGUACACAACCUUCCAAUAAGUGGGGAAUAGCCCAGGGAAAUUUGGAUUAAUACCCCGUAACAUAACGAUGUGGCAUCACAUUGUUAUUAUAGAUUUUUCGCUUAUUGAUGGGUGUGCGGCUGAUUAGAUAGUUGGCGGGGUAACGGCCCACCAAGUCUACGAUCAGUAGCUGAUGUGAGAGCAUGAUCAGCCACACGGGCACUGAGACACGGGCCCGACUCCUACGGGAGGCAGCAGUAAGGAAUAUUGGACAAUGGACGCAAGUCUGAUCCAGCCAUGCCGCGUGAAGGAUUAAGGUCCUCUGGAUUGUAAACUUCUUUUAUAAGGGACGAAAAAAGGCUUUUCUAAGUCGUCUGACGGUACCUUAUGAAUAAGCACCGGCUAACUCCGUGCCAGCCGCCGCAGUAACAC
rnacentral:rRNA from 1 species